UCAGAUAUAUAGCAGCUUCAUAUCCUGAACAUCAAAUUUAAGAUGGAGACGAGUACGAAGUAAAGAAGGAAAAUUAAACUUAAGCAUCAAAUAAAGAUGGAUAAUCCGAGCUUACGGCGAACGAGGCGGCGCUGCUGUAGGUGAACAGAAAACAGCAUGGCGCGGUGGGCGCACGCGGUGCUGAUCGCGCUGGCGCUGUCAGCCGCGCGCGCCUACCUCAUCAUCAUCCCCGACACCGCUCCGCCGGGCCAUGUCGUCGUUGACGCAGCUGUAUACAAGCUCGGCUCCGAACGCGCAUACAACAUUGACGUGCAUCGUACCGCUAACUUUGUACACCACAUCCUACGAGUCAAUAGAACUAGCGGUCUCGUGACGUUGCGUAAAAGGCUGAGAUGUGAUGGCGUCCUUUACCCCAACCUUUUUACAUUUUAUGUGGAUUCUACCUCCGAACGCAUUCGAGACAUCGACUAUUACAGUUUACCGAUUAGAAUAUUGGUGGCCGGGGAGGAUUGCAGCAGGCGGCACGCUGAUUUGUACGAUAUCGAUUUCGAUCGCGUAUAUGAUCAAAAUGACGCUGCCAUUCAGUAUGAAGAUGACCAUAUCAGAGAGAAGAGAGAUGUCAUCUACCAAGAGAGUAUAGACUGGAGGUUGUUAGAGGAAAGCGAGUUAGGGGCUAGUCAAUAUAGUGUAUUGUCAACAGCGUAUCCGUGGUCGAACGCGAUGUUCGAGGACUUUACGGUUACGAAUAAAAGUAGAAAAAAGCGAUCUCCUUUAGUACCUUUCGAUAUGGCCAUAGAUGUAAAAAUAGCUGAAGCUAAACAAUGGAUUUCCGAAACGUAUGCCAGUUUUGCAAUACCAACGACGGACCGAUGGCAGGGGAUUUGUUUAAAGAAGUCGCAAUUCGUAAAUUCGUUGACGGCAUUUUUGCCGAGAACAGUACAAAAAAUGUGUAGAGUGCAAUUUUUGGAUGUAAGUGAUCCACGUUUUAUUAUAGAGAACAGCCAAGGAGACUUGGUGGCCAGCAGCGACGUGUGUAUUCAAGAACCAAUGUGGAAAGUUUCCGUGCUCUUCACAUUUGAUUGUGAACGAACUAAUAUUGUCGAUUCAGAUCACAGAUUGAAAAUAGUGUAUCACCAUCAGGAACUUAACGAUACGGAUAUAGCGAGAAGGGUUAAAAGGGAACUGCGUAAUCAGUCACCAUAUUUUGAGCAAGCAUUGUACGUGGCGUCUGUUGCUGAGGAGCAGCCACCAGGAGUUAUAGUCACGACAGUUAGAGCACGUGAUCCAGAAAACAGUCCCGUCACGUAUUCCAUGUCAAGCCUCCUGGACUCCCGAUCAGCUGGUAUGUUCGCCGUGGACACGAGGACGGGCGUAGUCACCACACAAGCCCGAUUGGAUAGAGAGAGACUUGAUGUCCAUUACUUCAGAGUCGUAGCUCAGGAUGACACGUUCCCACCGAGAAGUGGUACCACAACACUUCAGAUAAACGUGUUGGACUGCAACGACCAUUCGCCGAUAUUUGAAAUGCAACAAUAUGAAGCGUCAGUCAGAGAAGGCGCAAGCCCUGGAACCACCGUCUUAACCCUUAAAGCGACUGAUCAGGACAUUGGAAAGAACGCUGAGGUGGAAUAUUCAAUCGAUUCAGUUAAAGCGGAAAGCUUGAAGCAAGAAGAUUUUAACGAGUCUAUAGAUAGCACAGAACAUGUGGACGCACACGAUGUUUUUAGAGUCGACGGCAGAAGUGGUGCGCUGCUGACUCGAUCCACGCUGGACAGAGAGAAGGUGUCCCGGUAUACCGUCAUCGUGAAGGCUACAGAUCAAGCCAGCCCACUCUCAGAUAGAUUAUCCAGCAGUGCUACAAUCCAUGUCAACAUUCUGGAUGAUAACGACAACUAUCCUCAGUUCAGCGAGAAGACGUAUACCGUGAAUGUAGAUGAAGAUAUUAGUGUCGCUGACAAUCCUGUAAUUGCCAGAAUAAAAGCUACAGAUUCAGAUGUGGGUUCAAACGCGGCCAUCCGAUAUGCGAUCAUCGGUGGCAAUACACAAAUGCAGUUCUCGAUCGACAGCCUCAGUGGGGACGUGUCAUUGGUUAAAUCUCUCGACUAUGAACAAGUACGCAGCUACCGAUUGGUCAUCAGAGCCCAAGAUGGUGGUAGUCCGUCCCGGUCGAACACAACACAAUUGCUUGUGAACGUCAAAGACAUAAACGAUAAUUCACCACGUUUCUACACCUCACUGUUCCAAGAAUCUGUGAGCGAAAAUGUACCAGUUGGAUACAGUAUUGUUAGGGUACAAGCAUAUGACGCAGACGAAGGUGUAAAUGCUGAACUAACAUACACCCUGGCAGACAAAGAGUACAACGGCAACAAUGAUUUGCCAAUCACGAUUGAUCCUCGAUCCGGUUGGGUGUAUACUUCGACGCAGUUGGACAGGGAAAUUCAAUCAAAAUAUCAACUUCAGGUUACAGCCACGGAUAGCGGUUCACCGCCUCGGUCAGCGACGGCCUCAGUAGUGGUCGUGAUACAAGAUGUGAACGACAAUGAUCCGGUGUUCUCUCCACCACAAUAUGAAGUAGAAUUAGCGGAGGACGAACCCCCAGGAACUCCUGUAGUCACUGUCACUGCAACAGAUGCUGAUGAGGAUAACAGAUUACACUACGAAAUCACUGGUGGUAAUACUCGAGGCCGUUUUUCUAUCACGUCACAAAACGGUCGCGGACUCAUAACCGUCGCUCAGCCUUUAGACUUUAAGCAAGAACGGCGAUAUGUGCUCACAGUGACCGCCACGGAUUCUGGAGGCAGAUCUGACACGGCCAUGGUCCAUAUUAAUAUUACAGAUGCGAAUAACUACGCUCCAGUUUUUGAAAAUGCGCCCUAUACAGCUUCAGUCUUCGAAGACGCGCCAGUAGGAACGACAGUGCUAGUCGUUUCUGCCACUGACAGUGACGUUGGGGUGAAUGCACAAAUAACAUACACCCUCAGUUCGGAAAUAUCAAACGAAGCUGUUGCACAUCAUGAACAGGAAUUUCACAUUAAUCCGCAAACAGGCGCCAUUACCACUAAUAAACUACUUGAUCGAGAGACUAUGAGUGGCUACCUGCUGACUGUGACGGCUCGCGAUGGAGGAGUUCCGUCACUCUCUGAUACGACAGACGUGGAGAUCUCUGUCGUUGACGUCAACGACAACGAACCGGUGUUCAAACAGCAGCUCUACACUGCAAGUAUUAUGGAAGAUGCUUUAGUUGGUACAUCCGUAACUCAAGUCAGCGCAACGGACGCCGACGUAGGGCUAAAUGGCAGAGUACAUUACGAACUGGAGUCUAAGGAUAGAGAGGAAGGGUCGUUUGUAAUUGACCCAGCGUCUGGAGUUUUAAGGACGAAUAAGGCUUUAGACAGAGAAUCAGUAGCAAUAUAUGAUCUAAAGGCUUUAGCGAUAGACGGCGGAACUCCUCCACAAAGUUCUACUGUAAUAAUCCAUAUAAAAGUUGAAGACAUCAACGAUUCGCCGCCGGUUUUCGAAAGUGACUGCCUAACAUUCUACGUGCCUGAAAAUAGCCCCAUCGGUACUACUAUUGGGGAAAUACACGCUCAUGAUCCAGACGAGGGUUCCAAUGCAGUUGUACAUUAUUCCAUAAAAGGUGGAGAUGAUUCGAAUAGUUUUUCAUUAGAAACUCGUCAAGGUUCUGACAAAGCAGAAUUGGUUACAAUGGUAGAUUUAGACUACGAAAGCCCUCGAAAAAAGUACGAGCUAGUAAUCAGAGCUGCGAGUCCACCGCUCUGGAAUGACGUCAGAGUGGAAAUCCUAGUAACUGAUAUAAAUGACAAUGCUCCUAUGAUGAAGGAUUUUCAGAUUAUUUUCAAUAAUUAUAAAGACUGUUUUCCCGUCGGCCCAUUUGGUAGAGUUCCAGCGUAUGAUGCGGAUGUGACUGACAAGCUCCAAUAUCGUAUUUUAUCGGGCAACAAUGCGAAUUUGGUACUUCUCAACGAGACAACGGGGUCUAUGACUUUAUCACCCCAACUAAAUACAAACGUUCCAAAACUAGCCACUAUGGAAAUAUCUGUAACAGAUGGGGUAAAUGAAGUAAAAGCGGUUAUGCAGCUGCUAGUGAGGCUGAUAACAGAAGAAAUGCUUUUCAAUUCAAUAACAGUUCGAUUGAACGACAUGACCGCGGAACAGUUUUUAUCGCCUUUACUCGGCUUCUUUAUAGAUGGUCUCUCAGCUAUCAUACCGUGUCCGAAAGAAAACAUUUAUAUAUUCAGUGUUCAGGAUGACACCGACGUAACGGGCAACAUUUUGAACGUAUCGUUCUCAGCGCGUCGGCCCGACGCAGAGGUGGGCAUCGGGGGAGACUCGUCCCAGUAUUACUCGCCUACGCACUUACGCGAGCGAGUGUACUUGCAUCGCGCGACACUGGCGCGUCUUGCUACUGUACAGGUUCUCCCAUUCGACGACAACAUUUGUGUACACGAACCAUGCCUCAACUACGAGGAGUGCCUCACAGUGUUAAAGUUCGGGAACGCAUCCGGUUUUAUUCACAGCGAUUCAGUGCUGUUCCGUCCCAUCUACCCCGUCACUACGUUUACUUGCCAGUGUCCGCAGGGAUUUACGGGGUCCCGCGAGCACUACAUGUGCGACACGGAGGUGGACCUGUGCUACUCGUCGCCGUGCCGGAACAACGGCUCGUGCGUGCGGCGCGAGGGCGGCUACAGCUGCGUGUGCGUCGCCGGCUACACCGGUGUAAACUGCGAGACCGUUCUAAGGAAGGCGACGUGUGACAUGAACGGCGAUGGCAGCAUAUGUCGCAGCGGAUCGCAGUGUGUCGCGAGACGAGAGGGGGGGAUCCUCUGCCAGGGUUGUUCUAUUGAUACUGCGUACACCACCGCCAUGUGCGAACUUAAGGCCCGAAGUUUUCCAGCUACCUCGUUUUUGACAUUCCCAGGGAUUAAGAAACGACAUCGUUUCAAUUUGAAAUUAAAAUUCGCAACUCAAACAACAUCCGGCUUGCUCCUUUACAACGGUAGAUACAACGAGCGGCACGACUUCGUAGCGCUUGAAGUCAUCAGUUCCGACGCCGGCCGGAGUGGAGGGCCGGGAUUGAGGUUUACUUUCGCGCUGGGAGGAGCGAAGACAGAAGUGACGGUGGAGGGUGACGUCGCUGACGGCAUGUGGCAUACGGUUGAAAUUGAAUACUUUAAUCGGACUGCAACAAUGAUCUUAGACGAUUGUGAUAAAACGCUAUCACUAGCGGGUGGCGCUGACUUUGGCGUGAAGUACGCCUGCGCGAACUUUACGAGAAAAGUAUUGCCACCACGCUGUGACAUCCCAACAGAAACUUGCCAUAGAUUGUUAUUUUUAAAUAGGUUCCUCGACCUCACUGGGCCGCUACAGGUUGGAGGAUUGCCCAAUAUACCCAGCAGUUUUCAAGUGAAGAAUAAAGAUUUCGUUGGAUGUAUAUCUGAUCUUUACAUUGAUCACAAAUUCGUUGAUUUGAACAGCUACGUCGCCGACAAUGGAACGCUUGCGGGCUGUCCGGAGAAGCGGUCGCAGUGCAGCAGCGCGCCGUGCUACAACGACGGACAGUGUCUCGACCUGUGGGACACGUUCCUGUGCCGCUGCAACGAGGGCUACACGGGGAAGGACUGUGCUGAAUCGACGUCCCCGCCGUGGCGCUUCAGCGGCGACGGCUCGCUGUCGUUCAACCCGCUGCUGCGGCCCAUCCAGCUGCCGUGGCUCAACGCGCUGUCGGUGCGCACGCGGCAGCUCGACGCCUUCCUCAUGUCCGUGCAGGUCGGCCAGAACAGCUCCGUGCUCGUCUCGCUGAAAUCUGGCCUUUUACACUAUUCAUAUAAUGGUGAAACAAUGUUCUUACCAUCGACCACACUUGCUGAUGGUGCGUGGCAUCGUAUAGAGAUCAAAUGGUUGGGGACGGACAUAUCUGUGAGCAUUGACUACGGCCUCCGAAAUGCCUUACUACCGAUGUUAGCCAAUAAAAUACAAGGACAAUAUAUUGGGAAAAUAUUAAUCGGCGGACCGGACACCACAGCUGGUCUACUCGCGUCGGAUGUGGGAUACUUCGAAGGAUGUAUUCAGGAUGUACGCGUGGGAACAGCACAGUCUUUAUUGAAUCGACCUACGGUCAGAGAGAAUGUGAGAGACGGUUGCCAAUCACGAGCUGACUGUAUGCUGUCUAUUUGUCCACCUUAUAGUAAAUGCGUGUCGGCGUGGGAUACUACGGAGUGCAUUUGUGACAAGGGUCGUAUAGGCUCGCAGUGCGUAGCCAGCUGCGACCUCAACCCGUGUGGUGCGCACGCGCAGUGCGUGCCCGACGACACGGAUAAGGGAUACCACUGCACGUGCGACGACGGGUAUGUAAUGACAGCGUCGGGCUGCACGGCGGAGUCGCGCCAGGAGUGUCCGGGGGGGUGGUGGGGGUCGCGGCGCGGCGCGUGCGGGCCGUGCGGCUGCGUGGCGAGCGGCCUGCACCCGCACUGCGACGCGCGCACCGGGCGGUGCCGGUGCAAGGAGAACCACUACCAGGCGGCGGGGUCGGAGCAGUGCACCCCGUGCCAGUGCUACGCGGCGGGCUCGCUCAACGGCUCGUGCGCGCGCUCGGGGCAGUGCUACUGCCGCAGCGGGGUCAUCGGCCGCGCCUGCGACUCGUGCGCCAACGUCUACGCCGAGGUCACGCCCAGCGCCGGCUGCAAAGUCGUUUACGAUGGUUGUCCGAGAUCCUACGCCGGUGGCGUAUGGUGGCCACAGACCAAGUUUAGUAUUGAAGCAAUUUCUGAUUGUCCAACAGGCUCAAGCGGCAAAGCGACACGUAUGUGCGAUGAAAAGCAAGUUAUCCCCUGGCAUGAGCCAGAUAUGUUUAACUGUACAACUUCUACUUUUUACCAAUUAAGAAAACAGCUGCACAAGAUAGAAACAGGUGAAUUGCAAGUGAAUACAUUUGUCGGUGUUCGAUUAGCGGAAGAUCUUGCAACAGCUUGUGAUAAUACGCCAAAGUUGUAUGGAGCUGACGUGCUGGUAGCGGAAGGUAUACUGUUGGAACUUAUACAAUACGAACUGCGUCAAGCGGGUUUGAAUCUUACGCACAGUCAAGAUAAAGAUUAUGUUCGAAACAUUAUAAAAUCCUCUAAUACAAUCUUGAAUAAUGGCUAUGAAAAAGAAUGGCAUCGCAUUAGAGAACUCACUGGGCGAGGCGUAGAACACUUAUUACAGCAGUUCGACAAGUACAUAGCCGUUCUCGCUGAGAGCCAACACGAUACUUACACCAGCCCUGUUGAAAUUGUUACAUCAGAUUUAGCGAUUGGAGUGGAUAUUGUUACAGCUGAAUCCAUUUACGGAUUUGAACCCACAACGUUAAACCGUUAUGGGGAUUCAUACACAACUGAACGAGUAGUCCUACCAGACACGUCAUCUUUUAUACAUUCACCUAUACAAACACCAGGAUAUUAUGGCAUUAAAGUAAAGAACAAAAAACCAUCGAGUCCCAGCGUAUCCUUCCCAAAGUAUAACAAUUUUGUGAAGAGUAAAAACAAGUUUGAUAAGUUUUCGCGAGUUCUACUGCCUUUGGAUUUAAUUGGAAUUAGUAAUAAUCAAGAUAACCUAGAAACAAACUACGAGUCUCGCGCCGUUUUCUCCUAUUUGCAAUAUUCUCGUAACACGUCACACUUAAUGCCGUUGCGCAUGGACGAGUCGGUCAGCCGACGUUGGGGAGUUAACAUAACAGUGGGCUCGCCCAUACUACAGGUGGCGUUGUUCGUGCCCGAGUACGUUUGGUACAGGGAGACGAAAGAGAGCGAGGAUAAUUCGGAAAAUAACAUUGAAGAUAUUGAUGGGAUAAUGUAUACUAACAAAGGACACACGCAUCAGAAUCACAUAAACAAUCACAUCACAAAUGAUAUACAGACAAAACAUAAUACUUGGCCUCAAUCAGAAGACGAGAAUUCCAACCAAGACAAUCACGGACCAGUUGUUAUUCAACCAGCUUACAAAAAACAAGAGAAGCCGUACAUCAACGAUAAUUUCCAAGAAAACGAUUCAUCGUAUGUCGCUGAAAGAUUAGAAAGCUCUGAUGGACCAAAAGUAAUGGCUCUGAUUAAGGAAAAUGACACUGUCAAUAAAGAUGCAAAUUUAACCAAGGAAAUCGGAAAAAAGAAGUUGAUAUACAAAAGCUUGAAUGGAGUGAGGUUAAAGAAACCGAUUAGAUUACAGAUUUGGCUUGAUAUCAAUAGAGAGACAUUCGGUUCACGAACUAAUCCCCAAUGCGUUCAUUGGUCCACAUUACGAGGGGCAGGGGAAUGGUCACGCGUUGGUUGCCACACCGAGAUCGACUACGACUGGUCUCCGUACUCCGACGAACCUCUGCUCAUUAAUUGUACUUGUAACCAUCUUUCCACUUUCGCUGUUCUCGUCGACGAAGUGGAUAUUGAGUUCAUCCCGGAGCCGUCCCUCCUGGAAUCAGUGACAUCAUACACCGGGUUCAGCAUUUCGUUGCCGCUGCUGGUGUGGACAUGGGUGGCGCUAUGCCUCAUGCGUGGUGGAGCCGCCACCGUCUCCAACUCCAUACACAAGCAUCUUAUCUUCUGCGUGUUCAUGGCUGAGCUGCUGUACUUGAUAGCUCUAAAGGCGAGGAGUUCUUUAGUUCAAAACGAGUUCGCGUGCAAGGUGGUGGCCAUGGGCCUGCACUACUGGUGGGUGUCGGCGCUGGCGUGGGCCGCGUGCGACGCGUGGCAGCUGCGGCGGCUCGUGCGCGAGCUGCGGGACGUCAACCACGGCCCGCUGGCGGCGCAACUGGCAGCCGCGUACGCCGCGCCCGCCGUGGCGCUGGCGCUGGCCGCCGCGCACCACCAGCACCAGUACGGGAACGCACUCUUCUGCUGGGUGAGCUGUCACGAAGCAGUGGUAUGGUGGGUGGUCAUUCCGGCUGCGAUAUACGCGAGCGCCGCCCUCGUUUUCCUGGCGGGCGCUACGCGAGCUGCUUUUACCGUGCGGGACCACGUCAUUGGCUUUGGAAAUUUGAGGAUGCUGCUGGCGGUGAGCGUGGUGUGCCUGCCGCUGCUGGUGUGCGCGUGGGCCAGCGCGCUGGUGCUGGGCAGCGAGGCGGGCGCGCGGCGCGACGCGCUGAGCUCGGUGCUGGCGGGCGCCGUGGCGCUGCACGCCGCCGUGGCCGCGCUCGGGUACAUCGCCUUCAACGUGCGCGUGCGGGACAACCUCAAGAGAUCGAUUUUAAGAUGCUUAGGGAAGAAAGUACCACUCGCGGAUACGUCUGUUAUAAUCAGCACGAGUGCCCAAAAUCUCUCGCAAGUUAACAGAUCUGCGCUAGCCUACCACAGCAGCACCGAACCGGGUCGCCAGAUGCGCAACAUUGGAAUAUCAGCUUCGUCUACCACCUCAAGGUCCACAACGAAGACGAGUUCCAGUCCUUAUAGUCGCAGCGACGGUCAACUUCGUCACACAAGCACAUCUACUUCUAACUACAACACGAGCGCAAGUGACAUGCCGGCUUAUUUGAGAGGAUUUGAUUCUUCAUUGACCACGAGAAAAGAUGACGAAAGUCGCCGUCGCCGCAAGACCCGCGGGGACACGGAAGUGGCGACGGAAGGCACGGAGGGCACGGACAGCGAGAGCGAGGCGUCCGCGCGCAGCCUCGACCUCGCCUCCAGCCACUCCUCCGACGACGAGGACACCACCUCGCGCCGCUCCAGCCACCCGCCCUCCGCGCACCGAGAUCGAGGUCCUAAUAACACAGGAGGAAAUUACUUACCAAAUAUUACAGAGGGAGCUCCUUUGGCUAUUGCGCCGAGAUGGCCUUCUCAUAUUAGAGAUGAAACCAAUCGACCCGAAAUGAGUCGUUGGUCACAAGAAACUGGUUCAGAAGAAGGGAUGAACCCUGGACCGGCCACACCGUCACCGAAUCCUCUGCCGAAUCCCGACUUAACAUCAGACGUGUACCAGCUCAGUAGACAUCGACUUAAGCCUUCAAUAUUGGAAAAUGUUCAUGACACGUAUGUUGCCAGUGUGGAUGCAUCAAGGUUACCGCUGGAUAACAGAUACGGAGUAAUGGAUGACGAGUUAAUGUACGGAGUAAUGCCAAACGAAACGGAGAAGCAAGUCCCGUACGACCCAAAUUACCCAAUAUCCCCGACAAUGUACAGAUUACCAACGAAUCCCUACGGUUCAAAAACGUAUUUAUCAUCUCGGACGUCGGAUUACGGAUACAGCCCAACUAAAUAUUUAAACACUGACCCCGGUGUGUACGGGUCUCGAGAUUUCCGAGAUUCGACGGUGACCACGAGGGAGCACGACGGUUACCCUCCACGAGAUUUCCGAGAUUCCGGUAUCGCCACCAUGCUGAAGAACGAUUAUCAGAGGAAGAUGGAAGGUCAUUAUGAAUACAACGACAGAAUGUCGGACGGCUCGGAGAAACAUCACCCACACGACAAAUAUCUCUUUCCGUAUACAGCGGAGGAAGACCAUAUAACUGUGCGCGGUGCGCAGGCGCCUCAACGACUCAACAGUGAUGUACACACAGGCGAAGUUCAACAACAAAUGGGAGCGCCACUAGCCAGUAUGGGAGAGACUAGCGAAUGGUGGAGGUUGUAUGAGAAACACUCAUUGUAAAAUCAUCUUUUGCUUUGCUAACCGAUGGUGUUGCCGCGCGCGAAAUCAUCCACAAUCACCGUAGGGAGGAGGAAAUCUACUACUGAAGACGAUGCAGAAACGAGAGUGUAAGACCACAUAGUACAAGAUUUCCAAUGAAUCUCAAUUAGUUAUUUUAAUUUAUUUCACUAUCUAAUUGUAAAAUAUAAUACAUUUAAUAAAACUGUUAGCUGUUACUUCUGCAAAGACUGUCAAAAUAACUCAGUGCUCACUGCCAUAAAGUAGCAUAACGGCUGUUUAUUUUUAAAUAUAUUGUCUAUUGCUUUAAGUAGAAUAAAAUUCGCUAUUAUAUUAAUUGUAGAUUAUUUUUACUUCAUAAUUUUGACAUCCACCUUUGCAUUAAACUGCUCAAAUAGUUAGAAAAUAUAUUGUAAAAAGGGAAUCAUAACCUCAAAGAUCUCAAAAUUAUAAUAUAUAUAUGUAUUGGUCAAAAAAAGUAAAUCAAAUAAUUACCUAUGAGAAAAAAGUGUAAGUAAAAUAAUUCGAUCGUUAGAAUUUGAAAAUUACGAGUUAUAUAAAAUAUCUAUGUAAAGUACGGAAUGUAUUCAAUUAUUAUAAAAUUUAAUUAAGAUUAUAUAUUUUUGCAAAUUAAAAGAUUGCUUUAGAAAACUCUGGCUUCUUAGAACUUUCUAAUAACGUGUCACCCAAAGUCAGUUGUAUAUAGAGUAAGUUAUAGAUUUAGAUAUUUAGUGUAGUUAUAUACGAGAUGUGAAAUAUUUUUCUAUAAGAUACCAAAACUUAUUAAUUGUAAUAAAUGUUCAAUAAUUUCGAAAUUUUGAGACACGCGUAGUUAUUAAUAAUAGCUUGACUUGAAAUUAGAUAUAGUUUUAGACUAAAUAUUUGCAAUGUAAAUACUAGGUAUACAGUUCUGUCGAGUGUUGUGUGCAUUUUAAGCGUUUAACGAAGAGUCCACCUAUUUUGUAAAUAAAUAGACUUUUACACUUUGUAGCUAUUAAGUACCUAUGGGGCGAUUUGUAUAGGGAAAUAUAAAAAAAAGCUUUACUUGAUUAUUCCCUAACGUCUUUAUGCCAUAAUAUUCAAAUGAUUUUAUAUUUUGUGUAUCAUGUAUAUUUUAUAAUAACAAAUUGUCUAGAGUCUAUUGCAUGUCUACCUAUCAAUUAUUUUGUCACGUUAAAAUUGCAAAAAGUAUUUAAAACAUUUAACUUUAAAAAAACACUUUCGUCGGUACAGUAUAAUAUUUGAAACAAAAAAAAAAGGAUAAAAAGAAGGCAAAUUUGGAGAUGAAAGGUAAAAGAGAGGAUAUUUUAAGUAUUAUUAUGAUCAAAUCUAGUAGACAUGCACGUUGUUUUGGACUACAAGCUCAGAUGCUUUUUAAUUAUCAAUAAUCAUAUAAUCAACGCAUUAAAUUCCUCUAUUAGGAUUGUUUUCGAAGUUGUCAGCUUUUUAGAAAACGUGUUUUAUGUACACUUAGUAUAUGAAAAUGUUUUACGCUUAUUUCAAAAACUUUACAUUCCGCUUUGUGAUUUUAGUCUACAUUCUCAUUUACAGAAAUCAUUUAUUGUAGAAGUAGUACAAAUGUAGCAUCUGAACUGUUUUAUAUUAUAAUAAAAUAUUUUAUGGCUAAAA